rnacentral:misc_RNA from 1 species
UUUCCGUAGGUGAACCUGCGGAAGGAUCAUUAACACUUUUUUGGUUUCAAAAAAUAAACACCUGUACGAACUGUGUUUUCUUUUGUUGUUUGAGAAGAAAAAAGAUAGGGGGAGGUUUUAUACCCCCCUCUCUCUCUAAUCUCUCAUACACAAUUUUUUUUAAAAAACCCCUUUAACCAAAACUUUUAAGAACUUUAAAAAAAAAUAAAAAAAAAUGAUUUUAUUUCUAAAUAAUAGUAAAAAAAAACAACUCUUAACAAUGGAUAUCUUGGUUCUC